rnacentral:rRNA from 1 species
CCUACGGGUGGCAGCAGUGAGGAAUAUUGGUCAAUGGGCGGAAGCCUGAACCAGCCAAGCCGCGUGAAGGAAGAAGGCGCUAGGCGUCGUAAACUUCUUUUGUCCGGGAACAAAGCGCGCCACGUGUGGCGUUGUGCGUGUACCCUAUGAAAAAGCAUCGGCUAACUCCGUGCCAGCAGCCGCGGUAAUACGGAGGGUUCGGGCGUUAUCCGGAUUUAUUGGGUUUAAAGGGUGCGUAGGCGGAUCGGGAAGUUCGCUGUUAAAAGUCCGGGCUCAACCCCGGCAGAGCAGGGGAAACUGGCGUGCUAGAGACGGCGAGAAGUACGCGGAAUGCGUGGUGUAGCGGUGAAAUGCAUAGAUAUCGCGAAGAACUCCGAUUGCGAAGGCAGCGUACUGGAGCCGAACUGACGCUGAGGCACGAAAGCGUGGGUAUCGAACAGGAUUAGAUACCCUAGUAGUC